UUACUCACCUGUUAAGGGAGACACCAUGAUCUUUUGAUGGUUCACCCAGCGUGAGGCUCAGCCAUGGCACUCUGGUUGUGCUGACCCUUGCGAAUUCCCCAAAUGUGGGAAUCUUGACUGAAUAAUUUCUGGUAGUGGGGGACGGCAUUCGUACUUCCCUCA